rnacentral:lncRNA from 10 species
UUUGAACUGCGAUCUGAAGGGACAAGAGGAAGGUUUAGGCCAGCAUGUCUGGAGUAUGGUGCAAGAGAGAGAAAGAAGUGAAGAUGAGAUUGGAGAAGGAGCAAAGAGCCAGGUCAUGUAGGACAGUAUAGCUCAAGGCCAAAUAAUACCCACCUGUGAGUCCAGUGUGACUGAUGAGCCAACGGUCUGCAACCUCAAAACAGAAAGAAGGAGGAGGGUCCAAGAUCUUGCCAACACUAAGAUGUCAGAGGAGUAGGAUCCAGCCAUCAAAGAAUGUUCAGAACCCACUGAACAGACAGAGGGAAAACCAAGAGUGUGAUAUUCCUCAAGACAAAAGAAGAAAGCGGCAGGAAGAAGCUGAAUGGUCAGCUUUGUAGGCUGCUGACAAGAGUUUGGGUAAGGUGAGGACACACAAAUGUCCAUUUGAUGUGACAUCAUGAGUAUUGGUUGGUAACCUCAACUAGAGAAGUUUCUGUAGAUCUCUGGUAUGGAAUCCUGUCUGAAGAAGAUU